UGAGGAAUAUUGGUCAAUGGCCGGAAGGCUGAACCAGCCAAGCCGCGUGAGGGAGGAAGGCGCAGAGCGUCGCAGACCUCUUUUGCCGGGGGACAAAAGGCCGGACUCGUCCGGUCCUGAGGGUACCCGGAGAAAAAGCAUCGGCUAACUCCGUGCCAGCAGCCGCGGUAAUACGGAGGAUGCGAGCGUUAUCCGGAUUCAUUGGGUUUAAAGGGUGCGCAGGCGGGCCUUUAAGCCGGCGGUGAAAUCGCGGGGCUCAACCCCGCCGAGCCGUCGGAACUGGGGGCCUUGAGUGCGGCGGAG
rnacentral:rRNA from 1 species